UACGUAGGUGGCAAGCGUUGUCCGGAUUUACUGGGCGUAAAGAGCGCGCAGGCGGUCGUUCAAGUCGCGUGUGAAAGCCCCCGGCUCAACUGGGGAGGGUCACGCGAUACUGAUCGACUCGAAGGCAGGAGAGGGAAGUGGAAUUCCCGGUGUAGUGGUGAAAUGCGUAGAUAUCGGGAGGAAUACCGAUGGCGAAGGCAGGUCUCUGGGUCGAUACUGACGCUCAUGCACGAAAGCGUGGGGAGCAAACAGG
rnacentral:rRNA from 1 species